UACGUAGGGACCAAGCGUUGUCCGGAUUUAUUGGGCGUAAAGAGCGUGUAGGCGGCCAGGUAGGUCCGCUGUGAAACUCGAGGCUCAACCUCGAGACGUCGGCGGAAACCAUCUGGCUAGAGUCCGGAAGAGGAGAGUGGAAUUCCUGGUGUAGCGGUGAAAUGCGCAGAUAUCAGGAAGAAUAUCCGUGGCGAAGGCGGCUCUCUGGGACGGUACUGACGCUGAGACGCGAAGCGUGGGGAGCGAACAGG
rnacentral:rRNA from 1 species